AAAAAAAUUUUUUAUGGUUUGAAAUAAUUUAUUAUAAAUUUAUUUUAUAUAUAAAUUUUAGUAAUAAUUUUUAUUUAUUUUAAUAAUAAAUUAAUUAAAUAUAAAGUAGUAAAUAUUAUUAAAAAUUUAAGAAAUUAAGAUUUAGAAAUAUUUAAAUUAAUAACAAAUUUUGUGCCAGCAGUUGCGGUUAUACAAAAAUUAAAUUAAAUUUUAUUAGUGAUUAGUAAUUUUUUUUUAAUAAAAUUAAUUAAAUUUUAAAUUAUUAAGUGAAAUUUUAAUUUAAUUUAAAUUAAAUUUUAAAGAUUUAAUAAAAUUUAUUAAUAAACUAGGAUUAGAUACCCUAUUAUAUAAAAAAUAGAACAUAAUACUAAAAUAUUAGAUAAUAACUUAUUGAAACUUAAAUAAUUUGGCGGUAUUUUAGUUCAUUUAGAGGAAUCUGUUUAAUAAUUGAUAAUCCACGAAUAAAUUUACUUAAUUUAAAAUUUUGUAUAUCAUUGUUAAAAAAUAUUUUUAUAUAAUUAAAUGAUAUCUAAAAAUUUUUAUAAUAAAUUAAAUCAGAUCAAGAUACAGAUUAUAAUUAAGAAUAUAAUGGAUUACAAUAAAUUUAUUUAAAUGAAUAUUAAUUUUUAAAAUUUAAUUGAAAGUGGAUUUAAAUGUAAUUUUAUUUAGUUUAUUAAAAUGAUUUAAAAUUAAAAUAUGUACAUAUUGCCCGUCGCUUUCAUAUUAUAAGUUGAAAUAAGUCGUAACAAAGUAGGGGUACUGGAAAGUGUUCCUAGAAAAA
rnacentral:ncRNA from 1 species